rnacentral:rRNA from 1 species
GACGAACGCUGGCGGCGUGCCUAAUACAUGCAAGUAGAACGCACAGUUUAUACCGUAGCUUGCUACACCAUAGACUGUGGGUUGCGAACGGGUGAGUAACGCGUAGGUAACCUGCCUGGUAGCGGGGGAUAACUAUUGGAAACGAUAGCUAAUACCGCAUAAUAUUGAUUAUUGCAUGAUAAUUAAUUGAAAGGUGCAAUUGCACCACUACCAGAUGGACCUGCGUUGUAUUAGCUAGUAGGUGAGGUAACGGCUCACCUAGGCGACGAUACAUAGCCGACCUGAGAGGGUGAUCGGCCACACUGGGACUGAGACACGGCCCAGACUCCUACGGGAGGCAGCAGUAGGGAAUCUUCGGCAAUGGACGAAAGUCUGACCGAGCAACGCCGCGUGAGUGAAGAAGGUUUUCGGAUCGUAAAGCUCUGUUGUAAGAGAAGAACGGGUGUGAGAGUGGAAAGUUCACACUGUGACGGUAUCUUACCAGAAAGGGACGGCUAACUACGUG